GGGUCGCCAGUUGAUGCAAAACAUCCCAGCCUGGACCUAUAAAGGCCGUUGGUGGCAGCGUUUUGGCUGGCGCAAACGCCGUGCCAUUGAACUGCUGCACCGCGUGGGGAUUAAAGAUAAACCAACCAGCCAUAAUGACUCCUUGAUUGAAAUUGUGUAUCGAAAACAGCAUCUAAAGGUGCUGUUUACCGAUUAAAGUAUGAGCGAUUUUCUGAUGCCUGCCAGGGCGGAGAGAUAAUGUCAGUUUGCUGACCAUGCGUGGGAUAAUGUUGCCGGAUCUGGUCUGAACGCCAUCUCCGGCUAACAAAGUCAUGUCGCUAAAACUACGGACAUCAGGAGGUUAGUGCAAUGGCAUAAGCCAGCUUGACUGCGAGCGUGACGGCGCGAGCAGGUGCGAAAGCAGGUCAUAGUGAUCCGGUGGUUCUGAAUGGAAGGGCCAUCGCUCAACGGAUAAAAGGUACUCCGGGGAUAACAGGCUGAUACCGCCCAAGAGUUCAUAUCGACGGCGGUGUUUGGCACCUCGAUGUCGGCUCAUCACAUCCUGGGGCUGAAGUAGGUCCCAAGGGUAUGGCUGUUCGCCAUUUAAAGUGGUACGCGAGCUGGGUUUAGAACGUCGUGAGACAGUUCGGUCCCUAUCUGCCGUGGGCGCUGGAGAACUGAGGGGGGCUGCUCCUAGUACGAGAGGACCGGAGUGGACGCAUCACUGGUGUUCGGGUUGUCAUGCCAAUGGCACUGCCCGGUAGCUAAAUGCGGAAGAGAUAAGUGCUGAAAGCAUCUAAGCACGAAACUUGCCCCGAGAAAUCUUUGCGAUUGGUCAGUGAUGCUGUCAAUCAGAGGGGGAUUUGUCUAGAAUAGAAGAAAUAAUCUUUCUAACUCCUGAACACAUCUCUGGAGACUUAUGUCA
rnacentral:rRNA from 1 species